UCACGCCGUGACUCAGCAUUUCCACUACAAAUGGUUUGUCAGCUUAUGGUUAGUUUUAACAGAAAGAAGAAAUUCUGUGGAAAUGAUCCUCUAUAUAUACAUGAAUACUUACAUAAAUCCCUUGACAGGACCCUUUUCAUGGAUACUAUGACAAAUAAACCCCUGUUUCCUUUGGGUUCACUGGAAAACAAAGAACUGGACAAUACAGAAGCCAAUAUAACUGGAAAAGGAAAAGCCAGACCGUUGGAGAAAAUUAGCUUCAGGCAUACAUUUUCACUAGCUCUGCAGAGAGUUCUCUGAAAGAUUUAUCAUCCUAAAUUACCAUUGGAUCUACAUAGGAAAUAAAUCUUUGCAGAUAUCCACUUGGAAUGGGUGGGGGAGAAGUUCUCUUUCCUGUUUCAGGAUGUAUUCUAGUAGAUUUUUUUGCAGACCAUAGUUUUGCUUGUAAUCAGUUCUUGAUGACAGUACAUAUUUUUUUCUUUUUUUUUGGGGGGGGGGGGGGAGUUAAGGGAACAUAAAAAAAUGCCAAAGCCUCAUUAUUUUUACUUAAAAUUCAAGGAUUUAGAAUUAUUGAACCAUAAAUUCUGUAAUGACAUUUUACAAGAUCUGUAAUUCAAGUACCCUCUCUCCUUCAUUUUGUCUUCAUACUGUACUUCCUAACAAGACUUCCGGAGGAUCUUUUUUUUUCUUGUGCUAUUUUAAUGCACCAUAGGAAUUGCACAAUUAAAAGGCAUCAUGAAAAAUGUACUCCAAUGAAGAAAUUUGCUUCAAAAAGAGAAAUGGAAUCACCCAAUAUCUGAAAUAUAAUCCCCAUGAGGUACCACAUCCACAAUAAAAGUCUUCUCAGUCUCUGUUAGGUUUUCCAUUGUGCAUAGAAAUUAUCUGGAGAAAAAAAAAAAAACCCUGACCCUCUUUAAAUGAGGUCAUCAAAUAUCUCAUCUUCUCCUUCAUUGCAAGCAUUUGCUCAAAUUAAGUGAAUUUAGCUUGAUUCCAGAAUAUGACACUUUUGAAUCCAUUGCAGCGCCAUGGUUUACCGACCUUUAAAAGUUACAGGUAUUGAGAGUGUAUUGAAAUCAACUAUUUCAACAACUAUUAAUCCUUCACUGAAUGCAUAAAAAAUAAGCUGUGAUAAAAUAUAUAAGCAGAACAAAUUAUAAAUCUAUUCAAAAUUUAAAUUGGUUUUCAGAUUAACUAAAUUUCAAAUUGAAACAAGAAUCUUCCUGAAAAUUGCUUAUUUUCUGCUUUACUUAAUCUGAAGAUCAGAAGAAAAUACUGUGUGAUGGUACUUCUUUUUGUGAUACUUGUAUAUUUGGAAUAAUGCUAAUGGGCUAUUGAAUUCCAUGGUACUCC
rnacentral:lncRNA from 1 species